AGCGAACGUUUGCGGCGGGCUUAACACAUGCAAGUCGAACGGGCUGUUCCUUCGGGGGCAGUCAGUGGCGCACGGGUGCGUAACACGUAGGUAAUCAACCCUCUGGUUGGGGAUAACACUUCGAAAGGAGUGCUAAUACCCGGUAUGGCGCAGCGGUCUUCGGAUCGCGGCGAGAAGGACCCGCAAGGGUUGCCAGAGGACGAGCCUGCGGCCCAUCAGCUAGUUGGCGAGGUAACGGCUCACCAAGGCGAAGACGGGUAGCUGGUCUGAGAGGAUGAUCAGCCACACUGGAACUGAGACACGGUCCAGACUCCUACGGGAGGCAGCAGUGGGGAAUAUUGCGCAAUGGGCGAAAGCCUGACGCAGCCACGCCGCGUGAGCGAUGAAGGCCUUCGGGUCGUAAGACUCUGUGGGAGGAGGAAGAAUAAAGACCUAGUGAAGAGCAGGCCGUUGACGGUAGUCUCCUUACGUCAAG
rnacentral:rRNA from 1 species